rnacentral:rRNA from 1 species
CAGCAGCCGCGGGAAUACGAGGGGAGCUAGCGUCGUUCGGAAUUACUGGGCGUAAAGCGCGCGUAGGCGGCUUUUUAAGUCAGAGGUGAAAGCCCGGGGCUCAACCCCGGAAUUGCCUUUGAAACUGGAAAGCUAGAAUCUUGGAGAGGUCAGUGGAAUUCCGAGUGUAGAGGUGAAAUUCGUAGAUAUUCGGAAGAACACCAGUGGCGAAGGCGACUGACUGGACAAGUAUUGACGCUGAGGUGCGAAAGCGUGGGGAGCAAACAGGAUUAGAGACCCCAGUAGUCCCUGUCUCUUAUAC